GUGAAUUUUUACAAAAAUAUGACUGUAUCCGAUUUUUCAGAGCCUAUAGCGUCCGGAGUAUUUUUGUUUGACAAAGUUUGAUCGUGAAAUAUUUGCGAACAUUUUUUGAAAAUUAAAUUUAUUUUGCCGUCUAUAGGAGAUCGCUGACUGCAGUCUCCGCCGUCCGAUAUUUACGUUAAUACGUUAAUAUCUCUUAAUAACUAUUGCGACUUGCGAACAUGAUUUCGGGUUUCUUUAUUUCAGACAACAAUGUUUGCAAUGUCUUUUCCAUUAUAGCGUACUCUUAUUGAGCCACCACCGUCGUUGUCGGAAAGUCGGAAGAGUAGGAUGUAGGAUGUACAUAUAUAGGGUGUUUACGUUUGUAUGUAUACAGUAUAAUAUAAGAUAAAUCGUUGUCAAACCAAAAAAGUUUGUGAACCGUUGAUUCGGUAAAACAUACUAUUUUUUUGAAUCCAAAUUCAACUCGUGUAAUUAUACGAGAUAAAUUCCGAUUUUUUUUAUACAGAGUUUUGUUAAAAUUUGAACUUUAAACAGAAUUAUAAUAUAUUAAUGCGAUUCAAAGAACGCAUAUUACAUAUACUGUGUUAGAAGUGGUGAAAUUCAUGGGUAAGAAAUAUGAGUAAUAAAACCAAAGUGUCUAUUCGGGAGAUCGAGGGAGCGAUAUAAAUACGCCGCUAUCUUUUUAGUAAAAAAAUUAAAAAAAAAAAAAAAAUACUUAUAAUGAAAACAAUAUUAUUACACUGUUCGGAUGUACGCCCGUGUAUUAUAACAUGAUAUUAAAAACGCCGAUUUUAUGUAAACGUAUCGGCGAUGAUGAAAAUAUAAUACGCGAAAAAAAAAAACAAUUUAAUAACCGCGCGUAUUAUAAUUGUCGGGUUGUUAAAUUUCAAUAUUGAUAAUCUCCGGAUAACGACGCGGAAGUCUUUGCGCGUGUUCGCGUACAUAAUACCAUACAGGUACCGGGGUACCGCGGGUAUAAUAAUAAUAACGCAGUGUUAAUGCGAAAAAAAAAAAUUAAUAAUAAUACGUAAAAAAAAAAAAAAAAAAAAAACGAUUUAAAGGCCGGCUCGCGCAAUGUGUUGCGGCCGCUUUAAUCCGCGUGUUAAACGCGCGAUAUUAAAACAGUGUGCGAUUUGUUGCGCCGGACGUGAUGACGCGUCCGCGGCGUGCGUCGGUGCGCCCGCGGCUAUAACACAGUGUAGCGUUAAAAAAAAAAAAAAAUAAUAAUAAUAAUAAAAAAAUGCAAAAAAAAAAACACUCCCCUCCCGGAGCGCGUUUACGAGCCGCGCGCGAAACCCGACAAUAGGCGGCGGCCGGCUCUCGGGCGGAAUUUCCCGCUCCAUUGUGCGCGGUCAUUGUGUUUCGCGCACCUGUCCGCCGGCGUUGGCGACGAGAUUUUAAUGCGCGCGGCACGGUCCGACAAUCGUAUUAUAUUCGUGCGACAAUAAAGGCCCCGUCGAAUCGGAAUCGCAACGGCGUUGCGUUACACCGCCGUUGUGCGGGACGUGCACGCGAUACCCGGCGGAUUUUUCCGACACGCCGCCGCUAUUGUUGUCCGCCACCCGGGGUGGAUAUUUCGCCGGAAAAACGGUAUCGCGUAUUAUUAUUAUUUUUCCGUCCGACGAAUCGACCGGAACCGUCGUUUUCGCGCGUCCGGAUUUGAUAAAAAAAAAAAUCGUGUCCGCGGAUUUUUAGCCGUUUUCGGUUGGCGCGGGCUCGUGCGCGCGACGACGCGAUACCGUAUAAAUCAUGUCGAUUAGAAUCGACAAUUCGUCCAUGCGAAUUAGAAGUUAACCGAAAGUUAAAGUAUUAACUUUUUAUCUCGAAUAAAUUUAAAAUAAAAACAAUUUACACGUUGCACACAUCACUCACAAACGUUUCGAUUUUUCUGACCACGAAGUCGAAACGGCUGAAUUUCAUAAUCAGAAUCUCCGAAAUGGAUUCAUUUCAAAAAGGUCAAGUGGCACAAGGAUAUAAUAAUAUCCUCCUUAUCUCCCCCCCUCCCUAAAUACGGCCGCAGAACGUCCUUACGCCCCGCGAAGCCGUGUAUCCGAAAUUCCCCCCCAUGUAAAAUUGGUGGCAGGUAUCACGGUACGAGAAUUCCAUUUGUUCUCUUCGUUACCUUUAGUGUCACGGACGAAUAAAAACGGAUGACCAGGAGAAACGGGAAAUCACGUUAAAUUUAAUUUCGUUUAUUUCGGCCAUUUCCAAGCUGUAAUAUCAGCAAACAACAAUAAUAUACAAAGAAAUUCCCUUUUUUUUAUUCAUCUCCUACGUGGAUUAUACCCGACGAUUUAACCGACUCGAUUUGAAUAUAUUGGAUUUUAUAGUUAAUUUUUUUGUUUUCAGACAUUUACGUAGACAACUUCGGGAAAGUUUUAAUGAAAUCAACAACAUAACGAUGUGUAACACGCCUGUCAAAUUCUUAAGAAUCCGAAAUUAAAAAAAAUGUAUUUUUAAUUACUUCAGCUAAUUACAACAAGUACUUUUUAAUAACAAAAAAAAAAAAAGAAAGACCGACAUAUUUUGCACCUUUGAUGGACCACUGUUGUAGAUGAGAAGUUAGAAAGACAGUAUGAUAUAGAGGGGAAUUUUAUGUAUAUACAUAAGCAAAGAUUAAUCGUUGCGAACGAAAAAAGAUUCUGAGCGAAGCUUUUUCAAUAAACAGUAUAUCUAAUGUCAUAUUAUAGUUAAAAAUAAGUAUAUAUCGAUACAGUUUGAAUAGACCCGUAACUAGAUAUGUUUUACAUAAUUGUUUACUAAAACGAUUUUCGCCAAAAUUUGAAAUUAAAAUUUGUGUAAAAAAAAAAAAUUCUACAUUAAGUUUAAUUCAACCCAAAAAC
rnacentral:lncRNA from 1 species